UACAGAGGUCCCGAGCGUUGUUCGGAUUCACUGGGCGUAAAGGGUGCGUAGGCGGCUUUGCAAGUCUGAUGUGAAAUCUCCGGGCCCAACCCGGAAAUGGCAUUAGAAACUGCGGAGCUGGAGGCUUGGAGGGGGAACUGGAAUACUUGGUGUAGCAGUGAAAUGCGUAGAUAUCAAGUGGAACACCGGUGGCGAAGGCGAGUUCCUGGACAAGACCUGACGCUGAGGCACGAAAGCCGGGGGAGCAAACAGG
rnacentral:rRNA from 1 species